rnacentral:rRNA from 1 species
AGUGAACGCUGGCGGUAGGCCUAACACAUGCAAGUCGAACGGCAGCACAGUAAGAGCUUGCUCUUACGGGUGGCGAGUGGCGGACGGGUGAGGAAUACAUCGGAAUCUACUUUUUCGUGGGGGAGAACGUAGGGAAACUUACGCUAAUACCGCAUACGACCUACGGGUGAAAGCAGGGGAUCUUCGGACCUUGCGCGAUUGAAUGAGCCGAUGUCGGAUUAGCUAGUUGGCGGGGUAAAGGCCCACCAAGGCGACGAUCCGUAGCUGGUCUGAGAGGAUGAUCAGCCACACUGGAACUGAGACACGGUCCAGACUCCUACGGGAGGCAGCAGUGGGGAAUAUUGGACAAUGGGCGCAAGCCUGAUCCAGCCAUACCGCGUGGGUGAAGAAGGCCUUCGGGUUGUAAAGCCCUUUUGUUGGGAAAGAGAAGCAGCAGGUUAAUACCCCGCUGUUCUGACGGUACCCAAAGAAUAAGCGCCGGCUAACUUCGUG